GACCUCAAAUCAGGUAGGGCUACCCGCUGAACUUAAGCAUAUCAAUAAGCGGAGGAAAAGAAACUAACAAGGAUUCCCCUAGUAGCGGCGAGCGAACCGGGACGAGCUCAAAUUUGAAAUCUGGCGCCCUCCGGGCGUCCGAGUUGUAAUCUACAGAAGCGUCUUCCGCGCCGGACCGUGUCCAAGUCCCUUGGAACAGGGUAUCAAAGAGGGUGACAAUCCCGUGCUUGACACGACGACCGGUGCUCUGUGAUGCGCUCUCCACGAGUCGAGUUGUUUGGGAAUGCAGCUCAAAACGGGUGGUAAAUUCCAUCUAAAGCUAAAUAUUGGCAAGAGACCGAUAGCGAACAAGUACCGUGAGGGAAAGAUGAAAAGCA
rnacentral:rRNA from 1 species